rnacentral:rRNA from 1 species
AUACGGAGGGUGCAAGCGUUACUCGGAAUCACUGGGCGUAAAGCGCGCGCAGGCGGCUAUUUAAUUUGGAUGUGAAAGCCUACGGCUCAACCGUAGAACUGCAUCCAAAACUAUUUAGCUAGAGUGUGGGAGAGGAAGAUGGAAUUAGUUGUGUAGGGGUAAAAUCCGUAGAGAUAGCUAGGAAUACCAAAAGCGAAGGCAAUCUUCUGGAACACUACUGACGCUCAGGCGCGAAAGCGUGGGGAGCAAACAGGAUUAGAUACCCUAGUAGUCC